rnacentral:misc_RNA from 1 species
CCUAGAGUUGUAGGCUUUGCCUGCUAUCUCUUACCCAUGUCUUUUGAGUACUUACGUUUCCUCGGCGGGUCCGCCCGCCGAUUGGACCAUUUAAACCAUUUGCAGUUGCAAUCAGCGUCUGAAAAACUUAAUAGUUA